CAAGUGGAGUUCCUUUUUCUGGUUCUCUAGGACAUCAUGUCUGGUCGAGAUGGAGUGUUCCAUGCUGCUCUAUAUAUUAUUCUUGUUCCAGCGUAUCCAAGAUAAGUAUCUUGAAAAUGCAUAUGUGAGCAUAUUGCUGAUGCAAAUUGAAAUAAGAAUUGAUUCUUAACCUCAUUAUGUUAAGCCAGUAUAAUAACAAGUAUAUCGACGAAGAAGAAGAAGAAGAGUCCUUUUAGGAACAUUCAGAUCAGAUCCUUUAUGUUCAUUCAAAAUAGAUGUUCAGAAGACGGGGAGCUAUGCAUGAAGUCGAGCUGAACUGUGGUAGUAAGUAGCCAAUACCUCCGAUCUCUAGAGAUGACAACUGAGUUCCAAGGAUCAAGGUAAGGCUCAGCUUGCUGAUGGAGACCAAUCGCCUGAUGACAUGGGGAGUUCUAAAUCUCCGCAAGAAGGAUCUGCUCUUAUACAGGUAGAGAAGUUGGAUUCGAAAGGUUAGCAUGGUUUCAAGUCACAGGGACAGUGCCAAGAUUCAAAAUCCGAGCUCUUGGAUGUGUAUGCAGCUGCCAACUCUUCGAUCGAGGAGGGUUUCAACCACAUCCAGAGGCCAUGAACAUGAUAUGAAGUGUUCAUGGAUGUAGCAUUCUUGAGUCAACAGCAGUUAGCUGAUAUACUCCUAUCGAUUAUAAUGUUCUUUUUUAGAGUCUGAAGUGUGAUUCUUCACUUCAUAUAUUUCUGUAGCUACAUCUAUAGUAAGAAAUAAACAAUAAAUGCCCCAUU